GACGAACGCUGGCGGCGUGCCUAAUACAUGCAAGUCGAGCGGACAGAAGGGAGCUUGCUCCCGGAAGUUAGCGGCGGACGGGUGAGUAACACGUGGGCAACCUACCCUGUAGAUCGGGAUAACAUCGAGAAAUCGGUGCUAAUACCGGAUAAUCAUUUGAAGUGCAUGCUUCGAAUGUAAAAGAUGGCUCCGGCUAUCACUACGGGAUGGGCCCGCGGCGCAUUAGCUAGUUGGUAAGGUAAUGGCUUACCAAGGCAACGAGGCGUAGCCGACCUGAGAGGGGUAUCGGCCACACUGGGACUGGGACACGGCCCAGACUCCUACGGGAGGCAGCAGUAGGGAAUCUUCCGCAAUGGACGAAAGUCUGACGGAGCAACGCCGCGUGAGUGAUGAAGGUUUUCGGAUCGUAAAGCUCUGUUGUUAGGGAAGAACAAGUGCCGUUUGAAUAAGGCGGCACCUUGACGGUACCUAACCAGAAAGCCACGGCUAACUACGUGCCAGCCGCCGCAGUAAGAC
rnacentral:rRNA from 1 species